AGGGAGAACUCAGACUUCGUUCAGCAAUUCCCUGGGCGUCUGGAGACUCGAUAGAAUACUUUUUUCUUUUUCCAUUGCCAACACCCAUGCCCAUUCAGGCCUAUGUGAGUUUUUACAAUGCUCCUCCAACUGGUCUCCAAGCCUCCAGCGUGCCUCAUUUCUCUUCAUCGUAGAGGACAAUAGCAGAUCAAUGUUUCUGAGGCAUGGCUCCACCAGUGCCCUCUCUGAUGCGGAAACCUUCCUCUCACUGCCUACCUGAUAGACUCCAACUCUCUGCCUUAGCACUCAAGGGCCCCUCCGCCUUUCAUGUAUCCCACAGUCCUGCCAAACCGAACAGUACCCACUACCCAAAAACACACAUUGCAUUCUUCUCUUUCACCUCUGCCUGAUCAGAUGAUGGACUUGAAACAAAGCCAUCAUUUGCUAGUUAAGUGACUUUUGCACAGGUCAUUUCACCUCCCUGACCCUCAGUUUCUGCAUAUAUAAGUGAUGAAUAGUAAGAUUCACCUCAUAUUGUUCUUAUAAAGAAUUAAAAUUGACUUAGAGAGCAUAUGCAAAAACAGCUGGCUCCCUGUCAUUAUAGGUUUCUCAAGAACUUGCUCCCAGAAAAAACCUGGAUGGAGAACAAAACAGUGCUCUUACAGCAUACUGGCAACCUCUCAUGCCGCCCUUGUGCAUGGGUGGAGAGAGUGUUCACAAAGCAGCUAUGGAAGAAAGGCCAGGUUUGCUCAGCAGAGUCCUACAUUGCCCUAAAAUUGCAAGGCACAAAACACUGCCUCCAACCCUCAAGGGGAGAUGAGCAAUAAUCCAUCUUGCUUCCAGCUCUUUAGGAAGCUGAGAAAGAACUCACUUGCCACACUGUUCUUAUAGUGUACCUUGAACAUCUCAUACAAAGGCACCUGAAAUGCUGUUUAUUUGGAGCCCUUAACUCAUUGCUUUAGAACUUCUGCUUUUGGGGCAUUUCCAUCUUGCCAACCCAGCUCAGACAAAAUGCCUACAUCUUCUCCUUAAGCAAGGAGGCUGAGGCCCGAAUGAUUGCGCAUCCACAUGCUUAGGAGGAGAGAGACAAUAGGCUUUUAACCAACCGCUUUUGUGCACUGGAGGAGAGAGUGUCAGAAAGCACCUAUGGAAGAAAGGCCCCUUUGCUCUCAGCCGUGCCCUACAUUGCUCUAGAGGUGGAAGGCACAAAGCACUGCCUCCAUCCCUCCAGGGGAGUCAAGACACAAACCAUCUUGCUUCCAGCUCUUUAGGAAGCUGAGAAAGAAGUCGCUUUCCACAGUGCUCUUACAGCAUAUUGGGAACCUCUCAUACGCAGGCAGCUGAACGCCAUUUCCUCCCAGCCCUAACUCGCUGCUUUAGAACUUCUGCUUCUGCCACAUUUCCCUCUUGCCAACCCGGCUC
rnacentral:lncRNA from 1 species